UAGACAGUAAUAGAAAGGUUUCUGCGAAGUUACAAUAAAAUAUAGUGUCCACGAGCAGAGAUAUAGACAUUUGAAGAAGUAGUAUAUAGGCAUUGUCUUAGAGAAAAAAAAAUAAAAAAAAAUAGAAGGGGUUGAGUAUCCCUUUUGAAAUUUUUGUCAUCGUUUCUAGACAGUAAUAGAAAUGUUUCUGCGAAGUUACAACAAAAUGUAGUGUCCACGAGCAGAGAUAUAGAGAUUUG
rnacentral:misc_RNA from 1 species